GACGAACGCUGGCGGCGUGCUUAACACAUGCAAGUCGAACGGAAAGGCCCUGCUUUUGUGGGGUGCUCGAGUGGCGAACGGGUGAGUAACACGUGAGUAACCUGCCCUUGACUUUGGGAUAACUUCAGGAAACUGGGGCUAAUACCGGAUAGGAGCUCCUGCUGCAUGGUGGGGGUUGGAAAGUUUCGGCGGUUGGGGAUGGACUCGCGGCUUAUCAGCUUGUUGGUGGGGUAGUGGCUUACCAAGGCUUUGACGGGUAGCCGGCCUGAGAGGGUGACCGGCCACAUUGGGACUGAGAUACGGCCCAGACUCCUACGGGAGGCAGCAGUGGGGAAUAUUGCACAAUGGGCGGAAGCCUGAUGCAGCAACACCGCGUGCGGGAUGACGGCCUUCGGGUUGUAAACCGCUUUCGCCUGUGACGAAGCGUGAGUAACGGUAAUAGGUAAAGAAGCACCGGCUAACUACGUG
rnacentral:rRNA from 1 species